AGGGGGAGAGACAAAGACAAAGAGACGAAGGUGGGCGACCCUAACGCAGUCCUCCAUUUCAUUUCAAACCGGCGUGCGGGUAGGUGUGGAGUGUUGCCGCAGGUGUGGACUGCCGGCGACCUGCGUGACAAAGGAAGGUUUGGAACAAAACAAGAAGCAAGAACAAUUAAGAUGAACACUAGCCACACCAAAGAACUGUUACUGCUGGCACCACCACCACCAUCACCACCACCACCAACACACACACACACACACACACGAGUGGUCGUGUGUGUGUGUGAGAAGGAUCCGGGUCAAAUGUCAAGCAGGGUGAGGUGAGCAGUCUUGAAGCAGAGGAAAGGAUCCAAGUGACUGCAGAUACCUUGGAAGGAAGGUGAUGGUGAGGAACAGUGAAGAAAGAUGACGGAGCAGAAACAGGCCCACACCAUCCUGGAAUGUGCUGCAAAUAAUCUUGGUUACCGGCAAAGUAAAGAGAUAAAGAGAUAGAUAGAUACAGAUAGAUAAUUAUUAGUAAGAGUGAGAUUAAGAUAGAUAGAUAAUUAUUAUUAAGAGUGUUAGUUAGAUAGAUAUAUACAGAGAUAGAUAAUUAUUAGUAAGAGUGAGAUUAAGAUAGAUAAUUAUUAUUAAGAGUGCUAGAUUAUUAUAUUCUUAUUAUAUUAUUAUUUUAUUUGUGUGUGUGGUGUGUGUGUGUGUGUGUUCUCUUUUCCUCUUUUCAGAAGUGUGUUUGGAAUGCAAGAAAUAUACAAGACCACAGAAGAUUCUAUAGUGGUGGUGGUGGUAGUAGUAGUAGUAAUAGUAGUAGUAGUAGUAGUAGUACUUUAUCAAUA